CUUUGUGCCUGGAUUUGUCUAUUCUUCCUUCAGCUGCUACACUGCAAUAUGCUAGCAAUAUUUUACCUUUUACUGCCUCAUUUAACCUAUGCAAUAAAGAUGCCUGUCAUGUCAUAAGGUAAGUAUUUUCCCUAGAAAUGGCUAUAGAAGUUUGUAUCAAAAUAGGCAUUUCUAUUGAUUUUUGAAUUGAUAUUAGCAGUUUUGUUUCUGCCUUAUUUUUAACAAUUGACUUUUAGACCUUCACAUCUCCUGGAAGAAAUACUGCCGUAAGCUCUGAUGACCCAAUGCAAUCUUGACCUGCACUUUUCCUUCUCUUGGCCCUCAAUUCUUCACUAUUCUAAUAUCCUUACGCUCCUUACAAUUAGUUCACACAAGAUCGGAAGAGAUACCGGUUAAUGAACAACUGCCACUCACUGUCAGCAGUGUGCUACAAAUGAAAGGCAUUUUCAGAAGCCAGAGGAAGGAGAUAAUAUUAUGGGGACAAGGAGCCAUCUACGGUCAGAGAAAACACUGGGAGGAAACCGCARUCUUCCCUGAUCAAGGCCCUUUUCAGAACUUGAGCACACCCAUCUCUGCAUGGCACUCACUUGCUUUGUGUUCUACAAAAAGAAAUUAAAAAAAAGUACUUCAUACUUUUCAGC
rnacentral:lncRNA from 1 species